rnacentral:rRNA from 1 species
UACGUAGGGGGCAAGCGUUGUCCGGAAUCAUUGGGCGUAAAGAGCGUGUAGGCGGCCAGAUAAGUCCGCUGUGAAAUCUCGAGGCUCAACUUCGAGCUGUCGGUGGAAACUGUCUGGCUAGAGUCCGGAAGAGGAGAAUGGAAUUCCUGGUGUAGCGGUGAAAUACGCAGAUAUCAGGAAGAACACCCGUGGCGAAGGCGGUUCUCUGGGACGGUACUGACGCUGAGACGCGAAAGCGUGGGGAGCGAACAGG